UACGUAGGGGGCGAGCGUUGUCCGGAAUCAUUGGGCGUAAAGCGCGUGUAGGCGGGAGGGCGCGUCUGUCGCUGAAAUCCCCCGGCUUAACCGGGGAACUGGCGGAGAUACGACCGUCCUGGAGGGGCGUAGGGGGAUCUGGAACUUCCGGUGGAGCGGUGAAAUGCGUUGAGAUCGGAAGGAACGCCCGUGGCGAAAGCGAGGUCCUGGACGCCUACUGACGCUGAGACGCGAAAGCCAGGGGAGCGAACGGG
rnacentral:rRNA from 1 species